UUGUUCGGAAUUACUGGGCGUAAGGGCGCGUAGGCGGUUUAAUAAGUUAGGAGUGAAAUCCCGGGGCUUAACCCUGGAACUGCUUCUAAAACUGUUAGGCUAGAGUAUGGUAGAGGGUGAUGGAAUUUCUAGUGUAGAGGUAAAAUUCUUAGAUAUUAGAAGGAACACCAGUGGCGAAAGCUGUCCUCUGGGCCAUUACUGACGCUGAGGCGCGAA
rnacentral:rRNA from 1 species